CAAAAGCGUAUAUUAAAGUUGUUGCAGUUAAAAAGCUCGUAGUUGACCCUUGGGCUUGGCUGGCCGGUCCAUCUUUUUUGAUGCGUACUGGACCCAGCCGAGCCUUUCCUUCUGGCUAGCCUUUUGGCGAACCAGGACUUUUACUUUGAAAAAAUUAGAGUGUUCAAAGCAGGCCUUUGCUCGAAUAUAUUAGCAUGGAAUAAUAGAAUAGGACGUUAUGGUUCUAUUUUGUUGGUUUCUAGGACCAUCGUAAUGAUUAAUAGGGACGGUCGGGGGUAUCAGUAUUCAGUUGUCAGAGGUGAAAUUCUUGGAUUUACUGAAGACUAACUACUGCGAAAGCAUUUACCAAGGACGUUUUCAUUAA
rnacentral:rRNA from 1 species